rnacentral:rRNA from 1 species
UACGUAGGGUGCAAGCGUUAUCCGGAAUUAUUGGGCGUAAAGAGCUCGUAGGCGGUCUGUCGCGUCUGCUGUGAAAUCUGGGGGCUCAACCCCCAGCCUGCAGUGGGUACGGGCAGACUAGAGUGCGGUAGGGGAGAUUGGAACUCCUGGUGUAGCGGUGGAAUGCGCAGAUAUCAGGAAGAACACCGAUGGCGAAGGCAGAUCUCUGGGCCGUAACUGACGCUGGAGGAGCGAAAGCAUGGGGAGCGAACAGG